rnacentral:misc_RNA from 1 species
GGCAAAUAUCGCAAAGAGUAUAGCAAUCAUUUCAUCAGAACAGAACAGAACAGAAAUCAACAGGUUAAAGAUACAACAGAAAAUAACUAUUACAUCUGCAUUACAAGCACACCUCAUUAUUCCUGUUGUCAAAUUAUGGAAUGCUUAUGCCUAGAGCAAAAUAACUUUCAUAUAAUUCAAGAAACACCGUGUGCCAAAAUUUUACCCUAGUUAAACUAGGAAACUUUGCAAGGGUAUAUACAAGGACGGCAGAAAGUAAGAACCAGUAUGACACACCUUUAAAAGCAGUCCACUUUGGCAGCUCAGCUCAAUGGGGUAUACUCAUUCAGCGGGCAACCCAUAUCCCAAAUUGUGUCGAUUACCCUAUAUCCAUAGCAGUUUAUCCUAUAAUUACCUGUCAGUGUUGUGCCCACUGAAUUUGCUUAAUAUCAAUCCCUUCCUUCACCAUUUCAUAAAGUGGACUCAUUUCCCUCAACUUCUCAACCUGCUGCACCGUAAGCUCAAUAGCCCUAUCGAUCUCUGCCUCUGUAGUAAACCUCCCAAUUCCAAACCUGAUUGAAGUAUGUGCCAUGUCCUCAUCCACCCCCAAUGCCCUCAAUACAUAUGAAGGCUCCAAACUCGCGCUAGUACAGGCACUCCCACUUGACACUGCCACAUCCUUCAACCCCAUCAAUAAGCUCUCCCCUUCUACAUACGCAAAGGAAAGAUUUAAAUUCCCUGCGUAUCGCCUCUCUAAGCUCCCAUUCACCACCACUCCAUCGAGUUUAGCUUUAAUUCCAUUCAGCAACCUCUCCUGCAAUGCUGUAAUUCUCUUAUCAUCAUACUCCAUCUCCUUCUUCGCCAAUUCACAAGCAGCACCCAUUCCGACAACUAAAGGAGUGGGCACCGUCCCACUUCGUAUCCCUCUCUCUUGUCCACCUCCAUUCAUUUGGGGCUCCACUCGGAUUCUUGGUCGCCUGCGCAUAUACAAAGCUCCAACGCCUUUCGGACCAUAGAUUUUGUGUCCACUCAAUGACAUCAAGCUAACAUUCCAUUUCUCCACAUCAAUUGGAAUCUUCCCCAGCGCUUGAGCGGCAUCAGUGUGAAACGGCACAUUGAAUUCCUUACAGAUUUUGCCAAUUUCCUCCAGCGGUUGAAUCACACCAAUCUCGUUGUUCACCGCCAUAACCGAAACAAGUCCAGUAUCAGGCCUGAUGGCUGAUCGUAAUUUCUCCAAAUCGACAAUCCCAUCGUUUCCCACAGGAAGGUAAGUGACGUCGAAACCCUCCUGUUGGAGAUGGCGACAGGAGUCCAGCACGCACUUGUGCUCAGUUUGAGUAGUAAUGACAUGACGCUUCUUUUCUUUGUAGAAUUUCAUAACUCCUUUAAUCGAAAUAUUAUUCGACUCCGUCGCCCCCGAAGUGAAGACGAUUUCUUUAGGGGACGCACCGAUUAAAUCCGCCACCUGAGUGCGGGCGAUCUCGACCGCAGAAUCGGACUCCCAGCCAUAGAGGUGAGUACGAGAGUGAGGGUUGCCAAAACGCGCGAGAUAAUAAGGAAGCAUAGCAUCAAGGACUCUGGGGUCCACGGGGGAGGUUGCCUGCAUAUCUAGGUAGAGAGGCCGAGCAGAGAUUUUCACGCCUUUUACUGUGACUACUCCUUGAUCCUCAAACGGUUCCCGAGACGAAGCAACGACGGCUGCCGCAGCGGUGGAGAUGCCGCGGUAAGCGCAAGUGUUGGUGGUCCUUGCUAAGGUUCGGCGGAAGGCGGACGCUAGAAGCUUGGAGGCCAUGGCUGGGCUACUAGGUAAUUCCGUGCAAUAGUUUCUUCUGCGUUGCCACUCAUGAGCGAGAUAGCAGAUAUUUAAAUUGGAGUUUGUAGGGUUACCUACGG